rnacentral:lncRNA from 1 species
CUCUUUUUAACCAUUAUUGUUAGAUAAACUCUUCAGGUAUUUCUUCCUCUGAACGCCUGUGAUAAAAACGCUUCCUUCCACAGUGCAGAGGUAUUAGCAGCAGCACAUUAAGGCUGUGAGCUGCUGCCUAAUAUUACCAACUUUGGGAAGUAAUGUUCUCUAAUUAAUUACAUCAGCACUUAAAGAAAUGCCAUUCUCAGAAAGGGUUAACCGGCCGAAUCAGCUGGAACAGCGUUUCCUAAAGAACAAUAGAAAAAUCAUUAGAGUGCUAACUGAAACAAUGCCGUACUUUUCUCUCUAUUGUUUAACCUUUUGUCCACGUUACAAAUAUCUCAAUGUAGUUCUUAUCUUUGACCUUGAGGGACUGUAGCUUUAUCAGUGCUUCCUUUUAGAUCACAGAUGACCUUCAGCUGAUAUCAUUGAGCCCUGACCUGCCUCAGUGAUCUGCUCACACAGAAUACAUAUGCUGAACAGUGCUGGUGUGUGCAGUAGGGCACUUUCCUUCAUUAUCUGUCCUUGGUUUCACGUGCCUGAUUUCCCACUAUCAGGGAGACAAGGAGUUCUGGAUGAAGCAAUCUUUUUCUCACAACAUGGCUACCAGCUCAGUGGCGAGAAACACCUUGUUGGCUCCCAUGAAGGUUACCGAAUUGCAAGCUGUGCACGGGUCUUUAAAGCAGAAUUCUUUAGAUCGUGAGAGUCUGUAAUAGGACAUAAAUGGACAUUUCAUCUAUAAAAUGCCUACUCAUACACCGUCCUCACACCACAGCUAAUGCAUCAAAACCUGAAAUAGUUUCUGUGCGACAAUUUAUUUCCCUGGCCACAGAAAAUAAUGUCUUGUAUUAUCAAUAGAUUUUCCAUAGUACUUAGAUGUUCUGCUAAGAUAUCUUACAAACUUGUGCUGUGAGCUGUAUUU